UGCGUAGGCGGACUAAUAAGUCAGUGGUGAAAUCUUUCGGCUCAACCGAGAAACUGCCAUUGAUACUGUUAGUCUUGAGUUCGGUUGAGGUAUGCGGAAUGUGUAAUGUAGCGGUGAAAUGCUUAGAUAUUACACAGAACACCAAUUGCGUAGGCAGCUUACUAGACCGACACUGACGCUGAGGCACGAAAGCGUGGGGAGCGAACAGGAUUAGAUACCCUGGUAGUCC
rnacentral:rRNA from 1 species